AACGAACGCUGGCGGCAUGCCUAACACAUGCAAGUCGAACGAGACCUUCGGGUCUAGUGGCGCACGGGUGCGUAACGCGUGGGAACCUGCCCUUAGGUUCGGAAUAACUCCCCGAAAGGGGUGCUAAUACCGGAUAAUGUCUUCGGACCAAAGAUUUAUCGCCUUUGGAUGGGCCCGCGUUGGAUUAGCUAGUUGGUAGGGUAAAAGCCUACCAAGGCGACGAUCCAUAGCUGGUCUGAGAGGAUGAUCAGCCACACUGGAACUGAGACACGGUCCAGACUCCUACGGGAGGCAGCAGUAAGGAAUAUUGCUCAAUGGGAGAAAUCCUGAAGCAGCAACGCCGCGUGAGGGACGAAGGGCUUUUGCUUGUAAACCUCUGUAGUGAGAGAAAAAAAUCCCAAUCUUUGGGACAUGAUGGUAUCUCAAAAGUAAGCCCCGGCUAACUACGUG
rnacentral:rRNA from 1 species